UCUUAGUUUCUUUGCAUUGAUUUAAUACAUGUUCUUUUAGCUCACAAAAGUUUCUCAUUAUCCACCUUCUGAAGUCUAAUUCCGUCAUUUUGUCACAGUCAUUCUUUGUCCAGCUUUGUUCCCUUGCUGGUGAGGAGUUUUGGUCCUUUCUAGGAGGCGAGGUGUUCUGGUUUCGGGUGUUUUCCUCCUUUUUGCACUGGUUUCUUCCCAUCUUUGUGGAUUUAUUCACUUGUCGUCUGCGUAGUUGCUGAGUUUUCGAUUGGGUCUCUGAGUGGACACCCAGAUUGUUGGUGAUGAAGUAUUUCUGUUACUUGGUUUUCGUUCUACCAGUCUAGCCCCUUCACUGUAUGACUGCUGAGGUCCACUCCAGGCCCUGCUUGUCUGGGGUGCACUUUUAUUAGCUGUGGAAAAGCGAGGGAUGCUACCAGUUUCUUUUUCUGCUAUCUUUGUCCCAGAAUGAUGCCUGCCAAAUGUCAGUCUUUUGGAUAUAGAGGGGUCAGGGAGCUGCUUGAGGAGACAGUCUGUACUUUUUAGGAGCUCAAUUGCUGAGCUGUGAGCUCUGUUGUUCAUUCCGGGCUGAUAGGCUGAAAAAAACCCUUUUUUUCUUAGAUGCUGUGUCUGGGGGCGGGGUUGAGGCUUUCCUUGUGAGUGUCCGCCUCGCUGUCCUGCCCAGCUAGGAUGCAGUCAAAUCACUAUUUGCCUGCCGAGGCUCCGCCCUGCUGGUGUGAGGUUCACCCUGUUGCUGCAGGCUCUGCCCUUCUGCUGUGGUCUCCGCCCUGUUGCCACGGUCUCCGCCCUGUUGCCACAGGCUCCGCCCUGUAGCGGAGUCUCUCUGUUGUACUGGGUUGCUUCGGCAACAGCAGGCUACGUCAGCAAUGGGCGCCUACCUCAGUGCGGGCUGAUUGCCUCGGUAAUGGCGGGCGCCCCUCCCCCACGGAGCUGCGCUUUAAGAAAACCUCCUCACAGGGAGGGUAUGGAAUCACCAUUUUGUUUGUCGCACUGCGCUAGCCCAAACGCUUUGUUUCUGGGAUUUCCUGGGCUGGCUCACUGCCCAAGUCCCGUUCAGUCUCAAGUUUAGCCCUCCCAGGUCUCAGUUUGCCGGUUCAACAGGGUACCCGUAACAGUGCACUUUUGUAUGCAGCGCUGUGGAGCGCCUCUGUGCUCCAGCGUGGGUCAGAGCUGCACCGGCUGCCGGCUACACCAGCCGAGACCUCUGCCUGGCGUCCCGCGUCUCUUUUAUACCUGGGAAUUUCCCCGUUCUGUGGGCAACUAAGAUCCGUCUGGAAAUGCGUCCCCGACUCACCCUCUCCACACAUCCAGCGAGAACUUCAAUCCUGGGUUGUUCUCACAGUGCCAUCUUGAGUCCUCCUACCUCCCAUGUUUUUUUUUUUUUAAUUUCCAAGAUAGGUUUUUCUAUCGCUAUAACUAAUAAUUCUAAAUUCUGAUUUUUAUUACAUAUUUAUAUAGAUCAAUGAAUCAAAGAUACAUCUUCAAGAAAGUAAGAGGCAACACAAGAUUCUCUCUGAUGAAAUGCUUAAGUAUAAGAUAAAAUCCCUUGUUUUUGCCUAGAUUACAUUCUAAAAACAGAAAGAAAGGCCAUGAAUAAUUGUUAAUUAUUUAAUAUUUUUAUUGAAGGAUAACAUCAAAAACUCUGAAGGAAGUAAUAGCAUUUUGAAUGAUGUCAUUCACGGUGCAUGUUCCCGGUUGCAGUUCGAGAAUGAUCAGUAUGUCAAAAGUCUGAACUUGAUAAGAAUUUGGCUGCUAAAUUGUACCAUGAUUCAGUUUGGCUUUUGAGCCUUUUUGUCCAUUGGGUGAAUUGAGAUCUACAUUUUAUCUUGCUGCCCACCACAGUAAAAGUGCGGGAGUCUGGGGUCUGAACCUUCUUCUGAACAAUGAUCUGGAAUAAAAGUACUAAUACCAUAAUGACUUUUUAUAUUCAUGGGAAUAGGAAGUAUGUUUUAUUUUUACAACCUAGGUAUUUGUCAAUUCACGUGGUACUGCCAUUCAAGAUAUACAGAAAAUAGAAAAUAUAUGCGUGAUGAAGAUAUCUAGACACAUUGAACAGUCCGUACCCCACUUAAUGCUGAACAGAGAAUAUUUCAAUGUGAAUUGGGGGUAAUUUUUUUAAUGUAUCACUUUUUAAAUAUUCCAUUAAGGAGGCCAUUCCAUUAAGAAAAGUUCAGUUGAGCUGUUUGUCUUGAACAACUUUGCAUCGUCUCUACUUUCUCCUUGUCAUCUACUCUCUUAUCCCAUUAUGUUUUAAGCAGGAAUAUCAUGGGUGCCACAAAAUGUUCAUGCCUCAUGGUGUUUUUUUGCUCUUCAUUUCUACAUGUGCUCAACAUUUCUCCUAUCUCCAAACUGGGCCAGCUACUUCCCCAUGAAAUACAGCAGUGACUGAUAUAGGCAUGGUUGCCUAUAUUACAGACCACGCCUAUAUCACAGACCACUCAGUGCCUCUUUUGAAAUCCUGCUACAUGUUUUGUUUCUAUCCCAUGCACAAAAGUUGGAAACAAAAUUCUACAAAGAACUUGAAAGAUAUUAUUUCAAUGAACACCUCAGGAAUUUCAGAGAUAAGUGACCCACAUCUGUGACAAGACUUUCAUUGCAUCUUAGCUAUGAGAAGAACCAAUAUUUCAUGUCUUAGAAGAUUAAAAUCAUAUGACAGCCACAUGGAAUUCUUCCUUUGUGGAAAUUAGAAUAUUUUGUGUCAGGUUUAAACUGGCCUUAAUGGAGCUGGUGUCAUGGAAGGAAAAGUGGAAUCUGAAGUAGGCCAGGGACAAAAGGGAGGUACCCCACUGUAAAUCAAGAAGGAGCAGGUGGUGAAAUGUUAAAAAUUAUAGAACUCAGAGAGCUAAAUGUAAUUACUUCCUUUUCAAAUUGUUAAAUAUUUUUACCUACAGUAAGAUAUUCACAACCUAAUAAUUACCAUCUUAACUAUGUUUAAGUGUACAGUUCAGUUGUGUCAAGUAUACUCAUGUUGUGCAAUUAUUUUCUAAAUGCCUUCUCUCAAAUUUGUCUUAAAGUCACAAAAUGUAAAUGACAGAUUCAAGGAUUUACAGCUGAAACCCUGGAGGUCCAGUAAUUGUAACCUGGAAAUUAUGUUAUUUGUUGGAGUCCCCACAGCAUGGAAAUGAGUUUGCCCUGGGAUGGUGAAGAAUGACUUCCUGCCUUCAGAUUUCGUACCUUCUUCUCUCCCUACCCUAACCGAGGUCUCAGGUACACUUGCAUACACACAGAGAAAAUGGUUUUAUCCUUUCCAGGAAUGAAAAACGACCUGAAAGGCCUCUUUGCUUCAUAAAGUUCUAUGGAAGCAGAAGUGCAAGCUGAAAUAAAAAGAUGAAGAUGAAAGUAGAUAGUCUUUACCAAACCUACAGACAAAGAAAGACUACUGAGGAAGAGUAAGAUGUCAAUGUAUUCAUUGACACGAAUGCUGCUUUAUGAACAAUGUGUUGACCAGAGCAGACAGAUAUAAUUUCCGUUAAAAUAUUUUAUGCAAUACUUGUGGCAAAUUAAGUCUUUACAAAAUUGUGCUUGUCCUUCCUGCCAUGAUUUCUAUAAUCUGCAUAUUUCCUUUCCCUUCAUACAUUCUUGUUUGUAAUUGAUUAGGUGGAAGAGAAGGAACUGCUACUGGCAUUUUUAAAUUUAAUACCUGGGUCACCUUUAGAUCUGUUUUCACAGUCCUUUAGGUUUUGGUCAUAUUACAUUGCAUUUUUCCUACCACAUGAUUAAUCAUUUUUUAUUAAAUGUGAGACACUAUAAAAAAUAUUCAGAAACAAAUUCAGGCCUACUAGGAUGUUAUCUUGCAGAAAAAAAAUGGGAAUCUACUUCAGGUGGAUGGUUGGGGUACUAGCAGACCUGGAUUUCCCCCAUCCAGUCAGCAAUUGAGGUCAUCAGUGCAGGCUCAGUCCCCAUAAAGGCCAAUGUAUUUCAUGUCCACCUUUAUUCCUACUGUGUGACUCUUCUGGAUCCCAACCAAAGCCACUGGACUUCAGUAACGGUCACCUUCAUUGACAGACCCUCAACUCCACUUGUUUUCCAUCCAACCUCAUGCCCUGUGCAUAAGCUUCUCUGUUUCUUUACAUCUUGGUAGUGCCUUCUAGAAUUAAGUGGUGAAACUCAGGGAAAUAGGCCCCAAAUGCUAGGCUGACCUUUGUCCUGGGUUUUCUUCUUCUCCAUCUUGGCCUCAUGUCUCUUUAGUGCCAAUUUAAAGUUAAUAAUUUGAUGCAUUCAAUCCUGUGUUUUAUAUUCUGUCUGGUGUUCUUCAUCGUUCUCAUGGGAGAUCAGAAGCUUAAGAUGCACUCAUCCCCACUCAAAAGCAGAACUCCUCCUUUGCCUUGUUUUUAAGAUUCAGGUUUUGUGUUCCUAGUUCACAAGUGCACAACAGGGGUAGUGUUGUUCUCACUGGCUUCUCAUUUGCAUGAAACUGUGAGUUCCUUUAGGGUAGGAACAGGGCCCUGCUCUUCUCGCAUCCUCAGUACCUCACAACACACUCCUUGCUUUGGGCCUCUCCAGACAGCAUGAAGGAUGGCUUAGGUGGUCAGAAACAAGUGCAUUAGCUUUCUCUUUGAAGUGUUUUUGUCCCUGUUUCCUAAAGAUUUUGGAAUUUUAUGCGUCCUUCAUAUGAAAUCAAUUAUCACAUGAGAUCCUUUGAAUCAGAAUCAUAAAUGAAGUAGUGCAAGGGCAACACAGCAAACCUGUCUUUUUAGGCUAUUGCCUUUUUCUGCCUCCACUAUCAAUGAAGUAAACCUUGUUAAACUCAAUCAACAUGGGGGUUGAUUGUUUGCAUUUGCCACCUAUUUCCAGGUCAUAACACCCUGACUAAGGAGCCACUCAGAUUAUUUUUGAUUCAGUAGAUGUACCCAGCACUCAGAUUUUCCUUUUCUGUCAACCAGAAUUUUUGAAGUCAAUAACAGGAGUUCCAAUCCUGAAUCAUGGAAACGUGCAGUAGUGAACUACAGGGUUAAUGACAUCGUGUCCUGAAAGGAUGUCUCUAAGGCUGAUUGUCUGGGUUCUGGCAUCAGCCUCUGACUGAGAAUCAGGUUUCCUCAUGGGAGGAAUCAGACAAGGAAUGAUCCCUGCUCCAUCCUGAUUGAUUUGUAGUAAUGAGUUGGGCAGUUCUGGUUUUCCACAUGAAACUAAAAUGAGCUUUCACUGUGUCAAGCAUAAGACUGACCCCAGAAAGACAUGUCAUGCAUCUCAUAGAAGCUUUCUAUAGUCCUUAUUUACUAGUAUAGAGCUAUGAAGAGGAACUGGAAGUUACAGAGGAUUUGUCAGCAGGCCUGAGUGUGAUUUUUCUUUGUCCUUCAGUGGGAGGCUUCAAUUCUUCCUCUCGUUAUAAAGAUCUGCUUGUAUAUAAAUGGGAAGGUUGGAAGGGGACCUUUGAAUCAUGGCCUUCAAAUGCUGGAAGGGAAGAAAGAAGCCCACAUUGGCUACUGGAUCCUGUGCAUACAUUUCUUUCCUUUUCAUUUCAGGAAGCUGAGAUGAAAGAACGUGAGCGAGCAGCAAAGGAGAGGCAGCUCUCAGAGGCAGAGGGAAACUUGAAGUUGGUAGUUGAGGAAAUACACACCUACAAGUGACUUCAGGGACUGCACACCAACCUCUUGGGAAACCUCUGCUGAAGUGUUUUGUUUUUAACUUUUGUACAAUGUUUGGACCCAAUUAACACAGAAAGACAAACAAAUGGUCAGAAGACAUAUUUAUAGACAGAGAGAGAAUUCACAUAAGAAAAAACAAAGUACUUUAAGGUUUACCAAUGACCAAAUACUAUGACUCGACUGCUGGGCAGACUGUGUGGAAACCCGGUUCACACAAACUUUUCUAAGGAUAGUUGUCAUCAUCCUUAAGAAAGUGCCUUGUGGUGGCAUCAAUCACAUCCUUAAAAAGGACUGUGCCUGUUUAUAAGCCCAGUUGUUCCUGUCCUGUGAAAUAUGGUAAGGAUAUUAGCACAAGGAGAAUAGAGAUUUAUGAUAAGCGAUGCUCAAUGAAGGAUGAUUUAAGGACAUACUGAGGGUAGUAAGGAAAUUGUCAACUUAGAACCCAGCACGCAUUAAGCAAUAGAUGAGGAAUCAAUAUAGUAACAGUUUUUUUUUUUAUCAUACUGUACUUUUAUAACCAUGUGAAAUGUGUUUUCUAUCUAUGGAUAUAUUGUGUAAGGGUACGGAUGUGAGGAUAACCAGAACAUGGCAGAUUAUUGAAAAUCAUCCUGAAAACGGCACUUUACCUGAUAAAAGUGAUUCUAAACCAUAUAAAAAUGAUGGAAGACACAGAAGAGCAGCAGAGGUAGGUAGAGAACUACUGCAGGUGCCAGGUAAGGAGCAUUCUUCCCAGCAGUUGCAGAAUCCUUCAGCACUGAUGCAAAUGAUAUCAUGGCCCUUAGACUCCUUAAACAUACGGGUUCUCAUGUAUUGGCUUUUUCAGAUCACCACUUCUGAAAGAAAGGCUCAUGACAACUGGGUAAGCUUUUUUUUUUCUUUCCUUGCUUUUAGGCAUACUCUGCCAGGUCAGGACGUGGAUGUAUUUUUCUCCCCACAGCUCUGUGUUUAAGCCUUGCAGAGGGAGAUGGAAGAGAAAGCUGCCUACAAGCAGCACAGACAGGAAAUGAUUGAAAAACAGAGUGCUGGAGAGACACAUUAGUCAGGAGCCAGCUAGUGGACGACCAGGCCUAAAGAAUCCUCCCUGGAGAGCCCUUUCCCAGUUCCCCUUCAGGAAUUCACAUCUCUCCAGAGCUCUUUGUGCCCGCGGGUUGUACCUCCAGAGUGGAGAAGACCCUUUGUCAGGAAGGGAGACAGAGGGGGACGAGAGGGUCUGCAGGUCGAGCUGGGAUCAAUUUCCACUCUGCCGCUGGUCAAUGUGGCUUCAGGAGGACCCCUUUCUCAGGAUUGCCCUACUUGCUCUAUGGCCUGGCUGGCCCUUCAGGACCAUUCAUGGGCUGCCAGACACCUCCUCUGCCUGGGUGGCCUCUGGGACCUCAACCACUGACUCCAUGCAUAUCACUUGGUAUGCUGAUCUGAACAAUAUGGACUGACUUUUAAAGUGGAUUCAUCUUUUUUUACUCAUUGAGUGAAUAGAAAGAAAUAUCACAGAUAGUACUGAGGAAGGAGACCCAGGCAUCGGGGAUUCCCUCCCUCUCUGUCAUCAACUGUGCAUCUCAAUAGAAGAGAGAGCAGGCCUGCUGGCGCCUCCUGAACCUCCUUCCUGAAAAUAACACGCUUGGUCUUGGGGAAAUUCUCUGGAAGACACUAUUUUUACUUAAAACAAGAUCAAACCAGAAACCUUUUCACAUAUGAGUCUUAAAACUGUAAACCAGAACCCUUUCAUAUGUAAUUUCUAAAGCUAUAAACCUAAAAUUCUUCCACGUGUAACAUCUAAAGUAUAAACCUAUAUAAAGGCAGAACCUUCCUUUGUUAGAGGAGCUGGGCUUUGGGCAAAUUAUGCCCAGGCUCCUGGCCAAAU